rnacentral:rRNA from 1 species
UCGGGAAUAUUGGGCAAUGGAGGGAACUCUGACCCAGCCAUGCCGCGUGCAGGAUGAAGGCGUUAUGCGUUGUAAACUGCUUUUUAUAUAGGAAGAAAUAGUCCUUGCGAGGAAAGUUGACGGUACUAUAUGAAUAAGCACCGGCUAACUCCGUGCCAGCAGCCGCGGUAAUACGGAGGGUGCAAGCGUUGUCCGGAUUUAUUGGGUUUAAAGGGUGCGUAGGCGGUUUAUUAAGUCAGUGGUGAAAGACGGUCGCUCAACGAUUGCAGUGCCAUUGAUACUGGUAGACUUGAGUAUGAUUGAGGUAGCUGGAAUGGAUAGUGUAGCGGUGAAAUGCAUAGAUAUUAUCCAGAACACCAAUUGCGUAGGCAAGUUACUAAGUCAUAACUGACGCUGAGGCACGAAAGUGUGGGUAUCAAACAGGAUUAGAUACCCUGGUAGUCCCUGAGCGGGCUGGCAAGGCG